UUGGACCUCGGAUCAGGUAGGAA
rnacentral:rRNA from 1 species